CAAAAAAUUGGAAAAGUUUUGGUUUUGGUUUUCUUGAGUACCUGUACCAGCAAUUCAGCUGAUCAUUAAACACAACCAGAAAGAAAGGCUCUAUUUUGCCUGUAGAGAGUUCAUCCAGAGACUGCCCAAGGGAUUUGUACAGAAUAAAGCUUCACAAAACCCAAGGGCUGUCAGAGGGAAAUGGUAUCCAGGAGGACAGGGCAGGCCAAGUAUCCCCUCAACAGCAAAGCCACACUAGAAAGCCAGAGGCAGCACUGUGGCUGCCAACACAACCGCCUACCACGUCUGCCAAGGAGCCAGAAGCCGCUUGUGGGAAAAUAUCACUUACCCUUAGCAUCUGGGUCCUGUGAUUGUUAUCCAAAGAGACAGAAUGUGCUUUGCUGGCAGUACAGGCUCGGUGAUGGGAAAUUCAAGUAGGGAAAACAGAAGACUAUAAAUUGCCACAGCCACCCCAACUUCAGUUAGCAGAUACCGACGUUGAGGCAGGGCCUUCCAAAGUCCACCAGGAAAAAGAUUACCACUUGCUGCAGGCUUGGAUGAUCAUUAGAACAUUUUAGCAAUAAAGUAUUUUUUAAAUUAAGGUAAGAUAUAUGC
rnacentral:lncRNA from 13 species